GCCGCUAUUAUCACCAACCAGGUGAUCAAAAGUACGCCCAGCACUUCAAAAUUAUUCGGCACCCUGCCUCUAUUAUCACCAACCAGGUGAUCAAAGGUACGUCCAGUACUCCAAAAUUAUUCGGCACCCUGCCGCUAUUAUCACCAACCAGGUGAUCAAAAGUACGCCCAGUACUUCAAAUUAUACAUGAGCAUUACUCAUGUCAAUCAUACAUAAACAUUCAUGAGCAUUACUCAUGUCAAUCAUACAUAAACAUUCAUGAGCAUCACUCAUUCAAUCAUACAUAAACAUUCAUGAGCAUCACUCAUGUUAACAUUCAUAAGCAUCACUCAUGUCAAACAUCCAUGAGCAUUACUCAUGUCAAUCAACAUAAACAUUCAUGAGCAUCACUCAUGUCAAUCAGCUUCAAAAGCUUCAUUUACAAAAGCUCUAGCUUCAAAAGCUUCAUUUACAGAGCUCCAGCUUCAACUUCAUUUACAGAGCUCUAGCUUCAAAAAGCUUCAUUUACA
rnacentral:lncRNA from 1 species